rnacentral:rRNA from 1 species
CGCGAGGAUCAUUGUCGAAGCCUGCCUUGCA